UGAAUUUAAUUUUGGGGUGGUGGAUAAGAAUUCCACUCUUGUGAUGAAAUUAGAGCCUUUUCAAACACUGAAGGUACAGCCAUGACACAGGUAUUAAAUUCUGGACACAAUUGCUUUAGAAGUUUUUUCUUUUGGUAAACAUGAAUGUUUGAUUUAAUAGUUCUUUCAUCAAAUCAUUGCCUGCUUCUCCCAAAAAACCUGGAUAAAAGCAGAACGUAAAAGGGUGGCAAAGCAGAUGCUCAAAAUAAGCAUCACCUUGUUUUCUCAGCACAGGACAUCAAGUCAGAUACUCACAGCGUGGCAGUCUUUAAGUGAUGCCUGAGGAACAUUUCGCCCCUGGGGGAAACCAAGACACUUCAAAUGGGUAUUAAAUAAACAUUCUCUGGAUUUUUGAUGGUCUAAGGCAAAGGCAUAUAAUACAUAUUUUGGCAACCAAGCAAAUGUCCAUCAUGCAUGGACAUCAUAAAUGCCCUAUGCCUGAAAACUGCAUGUGAGGACUGCAGAUGUGAAUUUCCCAACUUCCAACUGAUUUUCACGGCCCCUUUUUGUUUUCUUAGGUGAAAAAUUAAUGGAGUCACAGUAUAAAACCCCUCAAGAUUAACAACAUGAGCUGAAAACAUCUUUUUGAUAUCUGAAGCUGGACCUUCUAAGCUUAGCAAGAACACUCAUAAAUAAGUUAUAAAAAUAGAAGGAUCUUAAUAGGGCUAAUUAAAUAAUCUGACUUGCUCAAGCUGGUUGAUAGUGUUCAUAUAGGCUGAUACUCUGUCCUGAACAGCCCUCUUAAGUCAUCAAAAACAGGGAGCAGAUCAUAGCCAAGUGCUAGUGCACGCUUCUGUUCCCUUGCUGAGCUUAAGGAAUAUCUUAUCUAUAGACAGAGCUGUGGAAGGUCUAAUUGUUCAAACUCGAGGGGCUGCACCAUGUUCUUUAAUCACUAACUGUGGGAACAUCAUUUACAAAAGGAUGAAAUUAUGCACAUUGUGCAUCAUUUAAUGUCCCUAAUUUAUGCAAGAUAUUUAAAAAUUUAUUUAGUUCAGAACUUCACAUCUAAUUUAUGUAAUACCGCUUUCCUCCAGUGGCCUUAGUCCUUGAUAAAUGCCUACUAGGAAACUGGCUUUCCACAUGAAAACAGAUGUUUUUUGUGGAUGGGGGGAUCAGUUUUGUUUAAUAUUUUUUCUGGGAUUAUUUUUUCUUUUGUUAGGAACAAUUAGGAACAAUGAACAAUUUUAGUGAAAAUCUUUCCAUUUUUAAUGGGAUACAAAUUCAACUGGUUGAUAAUUUUAAAUGAAUACCCUCAGACACAGCAGGUGCUGGUGUGAUAAAAGAUAUCCCCACAAACUCUGCUUUCCCAUCUCACCUCACAAUAAUGCUUUCCAGGGUUUUAACUUGAAGCCUCGUUUUUCCUGCAAGGAUUGCAAAAAGAUCAUGAAAUCUGUUUUCACUACUGUAAGAUCAAAACUAGAAACUUAUAAAUUUUGAGAUGCACACGAGCAGUUGUAUUUAUCUAAUGCAGGUGUGGCUUAGAAGAAGCAUCUUUCAGGCUUGAUUACACACAGAAGGCCACGGCAAAUCUAAGUCUUUGUCCACCUCUGAGCCUGCUGUAUUAACAAAACUUCCAAAAUGAAGACCAAGCAUCACCAGCUUCAACAGGCAGUACAAGAAGGCCUCCUUACCUUACAUAUCAUUUUCAGCUACUGGUUUGGGUGUGUAAAGUGGAGUUAAUUUGGCUUCCUUAAGUGUUGUUUUUCCAUGGAUUCAAUGAGGAAGUACAAAAGUAACCAUUUUUAAAAAGGUAAACCCUUCUACCAAGGAAUGCUGACAAAGCAGAGGAUUUAAGAAAUCCUGUUUUAACUGUUAUUCCAGAAUUACAUCCCAAAUACAAGCCUGUGUAAACACUAUGCACUUCCUGAUCGUGUGUAUAAUAUGCUCACCCCCUGUUUAAGCUACAUUUAAUGGAUGCAAGUUAUUUGCAUUGCACUCCUUCUCAAAACUAUUUUCAUUUUCUACACAGUUUGAGCAUGGAUAGGUACAGAAUCUGUGGUGUUUUAUUUGUUUACCUGGCUUCAGUAAUCUUCUCAAGAAACAUUAAGACACUUAUUUCCUAAGCCUGAUGGAAUAAAUUACUGCCCACGUUCAUUAACAGAAAGAAAGCCACAUACAGGGAAAUGCUAACCCAGUGAGUAAAUACAAUUUUACGGCAUUAGCUGAUAACACAGAACCUCUGCCUAAUGUCUUUAAAGCAAUUAUUUUACCUUAUGAACUCCUUAAUGGCAAGUAACCUACUUCAUCCUCUAAAAACCUUUUCGUUUCUCCCUUAUAGAGAAAUGACAUAUAGCAUGCUAAACUAAAAACUGAGAAAAAUGCCACAGAGUACUGCCAGAUCUUGGAUGUUUUUCUGGUUGUUGAAAUUCAGCACCUUGCAGCCAAAUGAAGCAGUCAGGAGAAUAUCACUCGGGGAGAUAAAUUGCUGACCUCAUGCAAUUUCCUUGGAUAAAGGAAAAAAAGUCAGUGAUGGAACUGCAUGUAAGACCUCACCAGCUCAACCAUGGCUGUCUCAGACAGACCCUCACCUCUCCCAGUUACACACCUUGGUGCUUUAUAAAUUAAUUAAAUAAAGCUCAUUGAGAGAGUUUGUUCAGUAAAAAGGACUAUUAUGCAUGUAAAAACCUCUUCAUUGCUAAUCACACUUGUUGACCCAUAAUGGAAUAGUGCUGAACCCUCCUUGAAGAGUUUGAACUUAAAUCCAGGGCAGGCACAUCACAAAAUAUUUUCCCUGGAAAUCUCCACUAUUCCUGAACUUACAGAUACAUUAUGUUAAGGGUGGGGGGAACAACAUAAAAAUAUAUUCCUAAGAAGCUGCUCUUAACACUGUUGCUUUCCCAUGUUCCAUAUAUGAAUUUAAGAAAGUCCAAAUAAACAAGAUCAACUAAGGAGAAUUUUGGAGGAUAAGUGCAAUACCACAAAAUCACAUUUCUACUACUGAGAAUUGAAUUAUGCUAAAAAAAAAGAACAACUACUUUGUUUAUCAUAUAUGUCUCAGGAAAUACUCAGGUCUUUCAUUAUUUGCUGGCCAAGGGACAGAGGUGCACUGAUCAGUGUUCCUUGGGUAUAGACAGGCAUUAAAAGGAGCCAAAUACACCUGAAUAAAAUUAUAAGGAUUGGUUUUGUCAAAAAAGAAAAAAAAAAAGUCCUAAAUGUCUGUGUUUUGUCCAAAACAUUUUGUCCCAAACUCUGAAAUCUAUUACUAUCUUCCAGUAUUCUUAAAAAAAACAAAACAAAAAAAAAAAAAAAAAAAAAAACAAAAAACAAGCAAAUAGCUUAUCUUUCAAGCAUGGAAAAUUUGAUGUAAUGCUAAGUUUUACCUAUAAACAAGUUUAAAGGUUUGGUUUAUAUGACUUCAUACCCAAUGCUAUGAUGAGCACGUUUAUUGAGGACCUCCUGAGUGUUUUUCAAUACAUGUUCUGCACAGAAGUAAACAGCCAUUUGUGCAGUACAGUUCCCACUCAUUUUCCCUUCCCAUUUCCCCUGUGUUGUCAACUGACUUCUUUAACACUUAUAUAAUCUUAGUCAUAAAAUACCAGAAGUGCAAAAAGUAGUGUAUCAAAACUUUUUUAAUGUCUUAGAGAUGGGAGAGGGGGAGCACAUUAUACUAGGAUGCUAAUUAGAUGGAAAAGGGUGCUAUUGUAUGCUGCAGGGAGAUUUCCCUUGUUUCACUGAAAGGAAAAAAAAAAAAAAA
rnacentral:lncRNA from 1 species